rnacentral:rRNA from 1 species
GACGAACGCUGGCGGCGUGCCUAAUACAUGCAAGUCGAGCGAAUCACUGGGAGCUUGCUCCCGGUGGUUAGCGGCGGACGGGUGAGUAACACGUGGGAAACCUGCCUGUAAGACUGGGAUAACACCGGGAAACCGGUGCUAAUACCGGAUAAUCCUUUUCUGCUCAUGGAGGACAGCUGAAAGUCGGUUUCGGCUGAUCCUUACAGAUGGGCCCGCGGCGCAUUAGCUAGUGGGUAAGGUAACGGCUCACCAAGGCGACGAGGCGUAGCCAACCUGAGAGGGUGAUCGGGCACACUGGGACUGAGAAACGGCCCAGACUCCUACGGGAGGCAGCAGGAGGGAAUCUUCCACAAUGGACGAAAGUCUGAUGGAACAACGCCGCGUGAGCGAUGAAGGCCUGCGGGUCGUAAAGCUCUGUUGUUAGGGAAGAACAAGUACCGGAGUAACUGCCGGUACCUUGACGGUACCUAACCAGAAAGCCACGGCUAACCACGUGCCAGCCGCCGCCGUAACAC